rnacentral:rRNA from 1 species
UACGUAGGGGGCAAGCGUUGUCCGGAUUCAUUGGGCGUAAAGAGCGUGUAGGCGGCCUGAAAGGUCAGCUGUGAAAACUCGAGGCUCAACCUCGAGACGUCGGUUGAAACCAUCUGGCUAGAGUCCGGAAGAGGAGUGUGGAAUUCCCGGUGUAGCGGUGAAAUGCGCAGAUAUCGGGAGGAACACCGGUGGCGAAGGCGGCUCUCUGGGACGGUACUGACGCUGAGACGCGAAAGCGUGGGGAGCGAACAGG